rnacentral:rRNA from 1 species
AUUGAACGCUGGCGGCAGGCCUAACACAUGCAAGUCGAGCGAGCGGCGGACGGGUGAGUAAUGUCUGGGAAACUGCCUGAUGGAGGGGGAUAACUACUGGAAACGGUAGCUAAUACCGCAUACUAUCAGAUGUGCCCAGAGGGGAUUGGGUAGUAGGUGGGGUAACGGCUAACCUAGGCGACGAUCCCUAGCUGUUCUGAGAGGAUGACCAGCCCGAUUGGAACUGGGACCGGGUCCAGACUCCUACGGGAGGCAUCAGUGGGGAAGAUUGCACAAUGGGCGCAAUCCUGAUGCAGCCAUGCCGCGUGUGUGAAGAAGGCCUUCGGGUUGUAAAUCACUUUCAGCGGGGAGGCGUUACCCGCAGAAGAAGCACCGGCUAACUCCGUGCCAGCAGCCGCGGUAAUUC